rnacentral:rRNA from 1 species
UGAACGCUGGCGGCGUGCUUAACACAUGCAAGUCGUACGAGAACGCUUCUGCUUGCAGAGGCUAGUAAAGUGGCGCACGGGUGAGUAACGCGUGGGUAAUCUACCCUCGAAUUGGGGAUAACAUUGCGAAAGCGAUGCUAAUACCGAAUAAUAUCCAUUUAUUCUCGAAUUUUUGGAUCAAAGGUGGCCUCUUCUUGAAAGCUACUGUUUGAGGAUGAGCCCGCGUCCCAUUAGCUUGUUGGUAGGGUAAUGGCCUACCAAGGCAACGAUGGGUAGCUGGUCUGAGAGGAUGAUCAGCCAAACUGGAACUGACACACGGUCCAGACUCCUACGGGAGGCAGCAGUGAGGAAUUUUGCGCAAUGGGGGAAACCCUGACGCAGCAACGCCGCGUGAGUGAUGAAGGCUUUCGGGUCGUAAAGCUCUGUCAAGUGGGAAGAAUCUGCAUUUGGCUAAUAUCCAUUUGCACUGACGGUACCACUGAAGGAAGCACCGGCUAACUCC